AUUGAACGCUGGCGGCAGGCCUAACACAUGCAAGUCGAGCGGAUGAGAGGAGCUUGCUUCUUGAUUCAGCGGCGGACGGGUGAGUAAUGCCUAGGAAUCUGCCUGGUAGUGGGGGACAACGUUUCGAAAGGAACGCUAAUACCGCAUACGUCCUACGGGAGAAAGCAGGGGACCUUCGGGCCUUGCGCUAUCAGAUGAGCCUAGGUCGGAUUAGCUAGUUGGUGGGGUAAUGGCUCACCAAGGCGACGAUCCGUAACUGGUCUGAGAGGAUGAUCAGUCACACGGGAACUGAGACACGGUCCAGACUCCUACGGGAGGCAGCAGUGGGGAAUAUUGGACAAUGGGCGAAAGCCUGAUCCAGCCAUGCCGCGUGUGUGAAGAAGGUCUUCGGAUUGUAAAGCACUUUAAGUUGGGAGGAAGGGUUGUACGUUAAUACCGUGCAAUUUUGACGUUACCGACAGAAUAAGCACCGGCUAACUCUGUGCCAGCAGCCGCCGUAA
rnacentral:rRNA from 1 species